GAUGAACGCUGGCGGCGUGCCUAAUACAUGCAAGUCGAGCGAACAGACGAGGAGCUUGCUCCUCUGACGUUAGCGGCGGACGGGUGAGUAACACGUGGAUAACCUACCUAUAAGACUGGGAUAAAUUCCGGAAACCGGAGCUCAUACCGGAUAAUAUAUUGAACCGCAUGGUUCAAUAGUGAAAGACGGUUUUGCUGUCACUUAUAGAUGGAUCCGCGCCGCAUGAGCUAGUUGGUAAGGUAACGGCUUACCAAGGCAACGAUGCGUAGCCGACCUGAGAGGGUCAUCGGCCACACUGGAACUGAGACACGGUCCAGACUCCGACGGGAGGCAGCAGUAGGGAAUCUUCCGCAAUGGGCGAAAGCUUGACGGAGCAACGCCGCGUGAGUGAUGAAGGUCUUCGGAUCGUAAAACUCUGUUAUUAGGGAAGAACAAAUGUGUAAGUAACUAUGCACGUCUUGACGGUACCUAAUCAGAAAGCCACGGCUAACUACGUG
rnacentral:rRNA from 1 species